UCAUCUUCGGGGGUAGAGCACUGUUUCGGCUAGGGGGUCAUCCCGACUUACCAACCCGAUGCAAACUACGAAUACCGAAGAAUGUUAUCACGGGAGACACACGGCGGGUGCUAACGUCCGUCGUGAAGAGGGAAACAACCCAGACCGCCAGCUAAGGUCCCAAAGUCAUGGUUAAGUGGGAAACGAUGUGGGAAGGCACAGACAGCCAGGAUGUUGGCUUAGAAGCAGCCAUCAUUUAAAGAAAGCGUAAUAGCUCACUGGUCGAGUCGGCCUGCGCGGAAGAUGUAACGGGGCUAAACCAUGCACCGAAGCUGCGGCAGCGACACUAUGUGUUGUUGGGUAGGGGAGCGUUCUGUAAGCCUGCGAAGGUGACCUGUGAGGGUUGCUGGAGGUAUCAGAAGUGCGAAUGCUGACAUAAGUAACGAUAAAGCGGGUGAAAAGCCCGCUCGCCGGAAGACCAAGGGUUCCUGUCCAACGUUAAUCGGGGCAGGGUGAGUCGACCCCUAAGGCGAGGCCGAAAGGCGUAGUCGAUGGGAAACAGGUUAAUAUUCCUGUACUUGGUGUUACUGCGAAGGGGGGACGGAGAAGGCUAUGUUAGCCGGGCGACGGUUGUCCCGGUUUAAGCAUGUAGGCUGGUUGUCCAGGCAAAUCCGGAUAAUCAAGGCUGAGGUGUGAUGACGAGGCACUACGGUGCUGAAGUAACAAAUGCCCUGCUUCCAGGAAAAGCCUCUAAGCAUCAGGUAACAUUAAAUCGUACCCCAAACCGACACAGGUGGUCAGGUAGAGAAUACCAAGGCGCUUGAGAGAACUCGGGUGAAGGAACUAGGCAAAAUGGUGCCGUAACUUCGGGAGAAGGCACGCUGGUGUGUAGGUGAAGUCCCUGCGGAUGGAGCUGAGACCAGUCGAAGAUACCAGCUGGCUGCAACUGUUUAUUAAAAACACAGCACUGUGCAAACACGAAAGUGGACGUAUACGGUGUGACGCCUGCCCGGUGCCGGAAGGUUAAUUGAUGGGGUUAUCCGUAAGGAGAAGCUCUUGAUCGAAGCCCCGGUAAACGGCGGCCGUAACUAUAACGGUCCUAAGGUAGCGAAAUUCCUUGUCGGGUAAGUUCCGACCUGCACGAAUGGCGUAAUGAUGGCCAGGCUGUCUCCACCCGAGACUCAGUGAAAUUGAACUCGCUGUGAAGAUGCAGUGUACCCGCGGCAAGACGGAAAGACCCCGUGAACCUUUACUAUAGCUUGACACUGAACAUUGAGCCUUGAUGUGUAGGAUAGGUGGGAGGCUUUGAAGCGUGGACGCCAGUCUGCGUGGAGCCAACCUUGAAAUACCACCCUUUAAUGUUUGAUGUUCUAACGUUGGCCCCUGACCGGGGUUGCGGACAGUGUCUGGUGGGUAGUUUGACUGGGGCGGUCUCCUCCCAAAGCGUAACGGAGGAGCACGAAGGUUAGCUAAUCCUGGUCGGACAUCAGGAGGUUAGUGCAAUGGCAUAAGC
rnacentral:rRNA from 1 species